AUACGUAGGGAGCGAGCGUUGUCCGGACUUACUGGGUGUAAAGGGAGCGUAGGCGGGAGUGCAAGUCAGAUGUGAAAUACAUGGGCUCGACCCAUGGGCUGCAUUUGAAACUGGAUUUCUUGAGUGAAGUAGAGGUAAGCGGAAUUCCUGGUGUAGCGGUGAAAUGCGUAGAUAUCAGGAGGAACACUGGUGGCGAAGGCGGCUUACUGGGCUUUUACUGACGCUGAUGCUCGAAAGCGUGGGGAGCAAACAGGAUUAGAUACCCUGGUAGUCCACGCUGUAAACGAUGAUUACUAGGUGUGGGGGGACUGACCCCUUCCGUGCCGCAGUUAACACAAUAAGUAAUCCACCUGGGGAGUACGGCCGCAAGGUUGAAACUUAAAGGAAUUGGCGGGG
rnacentral:rRNA from 1 species